rnacentral:pre_miRNA from 1 species
GAGACACCCCUAUGGAGCAGGACUUGCUUCAGUGGGGCUUUGGUACUCACUGAGUCUGCCCCUUAGAUGUGUUGCU